rnacentral:rRNA from 1 species
GAUGAACGCUGGCGGCGUGCCUAAUACAUGCAAGUCGAGCGAAGCGGGGACGGGGGAGUGACACGUAGAUAACAUCCUAUAAGAAUGGGGUACCAUCGGGAAACCGGAGCUACACCGGACACUUAUAGAUGGAUCCACGAUGCGUUGGCUGGUUGGUAGGGUAACGGCUUACCAAGGCAACGAUGCAGAGCCGCCCUGAGAGAGGGAUCGGCCAAACUGGAAGUGAGACACGGUCCAGCCUCUGACGGGAGGCAGCAGUAGGAAAGCUUCCGCAAUGGGCGAAAGCCUGCAGGAGGAAGGCCGGGGGAGGGAGGAGGGUCUUGGGAUCGUAAAACUCUGUUAUUAGGGAAGCGGUACCUAAUCAGAAAGCCACGGCUAACUACGUGCCAGCCGCCGCGGUAAUAC